GCCCCCAUCGUCUAGCCCGGUAAGGACACCGCCCUUUCAAGGCGGCGGCAGCGGUUCAAAUCCGCUUGGGGGCGCCA
rnacentral:tRNA from 1 species